rnacentral:rRNA from 1 species
UGAGUAACCUGCCCUUAACUCUGGGAUAAGCCUGGGAAACUGGGUCUAAUACCGGAUAUGACUCCUCAUCGCAUGGUGGGGGGUGGAAAGCUUUAUUGUGGUUUUGGAUGGACUCGCGGCCUAUCAGCUUGUUGGUGAGGUAAUGGCUCACCAAGGCGACGACGGGUAGCCGGCUGAGAGGGUGACCGGCCACACGUGGGACUGAGACCACGGCCCAGACCUCCGUACGGGAGGCAG